rnacentral:rRNA from 1 species
UACAGAGGUCUCAAGCGUUGUUCGGAUUCACUGGGCGUAAAGGGUGCGUAGGCGGUCGGGUAAGUCUGAUGUGAAAUCUCCAAGCCUAACUUGGAAACUGCAUUGGAUACUGUCCGGCUAGAGGAAUGGAGGGGAGACUGGAAUACUUGGUGUAGCAGUGAAAUGCGUAGAUAUCAAGUGGAACACCAGUGGCGAAGGCGGCGCUCUGGACCGAGACUGACGCUGAGGCGCGAAAGCGUGGGGAGCAAACAGG